rnacentral:rRNA from 1 species
UACGUAGGGGGCAAGCGUUGUCCGGAAUCAUGGGGCGUAAAGAGCGUGUAGGCGGCCCGGUAAGUCCGCUGUGAAAGUCCAGGGCUCAACCCUGGGAUGCCGGUGGAUACUGUCGGGCUCGAGUCCGGAAGAGGAGUGUGGAAUUCCUGGUGUAGCGGUGAAAUGCGCAGAUAUCAGGAGGAACACCAAUGGCGAAGGCAGCACUCUGGGACGUGACUGACGCUGAGACGCGAAAGCGUGGGGAGCAAACAGG